rnacentral:rRNA from 1 species
CGGCGGACGGGUGAGUAACACGUGGAUAACCUACCUAUAAGACUGGGAUAACUUCGGGAAACCGGAGCUAAUACCGGAUAAUAUAUUGAACCGCAUGGUUCAAUAGUGAAAGACGGUUUUGCUGUCACUUAUAGAUGGAUCCGCGCCGCAUUAGCUAGUUGGUAAGGUAACGGCUUACCAAGGCGACGAUGCGUAGCCGACCUGAGAGGGUGACCGGCCACACUGGAACUGAGACACGGUCCAG